GUGCAGGCGUCCACCAUUGCGCCUUGCAGCCACCCAAGACAUGGGUUGUUCGUGAGUCCCUAUUAAAUGUUUCUUUCUGAGAACCUGGGUUUCUUGGCCUCUUUCUUUGGCCUCUCAGCUUCCUUAGGCUUUGGGGCUAGGUUUGCAUAGAACUACUCACCAUAGAACAGGAUCAUAUGUUUUAACCCAGAGGAUUAGUGGGCUCACCUCAGUCAAAGGAAGGCCGUUGAAGUGGAUUUUGCCUCAGCAGCAGAAUCCUUCCUGUUGAUGAAAUCACUCUAGAUAGGGGAAGGCAGCCCAAACAGCACCCAGACCAAGAGCCUGGAUCAGGGAUCCUGCUGCCUGAGACUUUCUAACUAGGCCAAGAAAUGAGGACACUGAACUACUUCUUCUUGAGAUGACGGAAUCUUGCAAGUUUAUUUAUUGUUUCCUGGGGGAGGAGACACAGUCUGUUGGAACUGGAAGUGAUGAGAGAUUGCCAUCCAAUUCCAUAGGAGGCCAAUGAGAGGUUACAUGAAGGGAGGACUCUACUGGUAGACAGUCCUAGAAACCCCAGGCUAAAGUGAAACUCAGUAAUUUUGUUUUUAAACUGCAGGUCCUCUCAGCGCAUUCAAUAUUUUGCUUGUUAUCAAUAAGGGGAUGUAGCAGCCACAUUUCCCAAUUUUUUUGGCCAUUUUUUUCCUCUGACAGCAUUUUUAGGACCCGUGUCCCCCUGAACACAUGGAGGGAUGGAGCAAUUGAAUGUCAUGCCCUGAUUUCACAGAUGGGGGCAGGGAGGCUCAGCAAGGAAAGUCAGGUGGAGCAGAGACCCAUUCCCUGCCCCUGCCUUGGGGCUCUUUUCGAAACUCUGCCCUGCUCACAUCUGCCCCAAGACACUCUGCCUCCAUGAAAGUGCAGGUUAUUUUACAGUUUGGAGGUGACACUGGACCCCUUGGAAAUCAGAGAAUGUGCACUUUCUUGGCAAAAUAUCCAAGGUAAGGGAGAGUAUAAAUGUGAAUGAGAAUGCUGAGUGUCGGAAGACAUUUGUUUUUUGUUUACAUCUAGGACCAGACCAGAGGGAGUGAGGUCUAUCUAUCCCACGAAGAAACUGAGAUGCAGCUUAUGAAAUAGAGGCUGACAAUGGCUCACCCACCUCCUUUGUAAGAGCCUGGUGUGUGCUACAGGAGCAUGGCCCAUAUACGUGUCAGGUUGAAGGACAACUCAGGAGCUGUCCAAGGCUCAACUUGGCCCCACUUGCCCCAUCUGGCAGCCUGGACCGAGCAUUGUUCAUUGAGUCCCACACCCACAUGGCCCCAGAGUCAAACCGCCUUUCAUGCUGAAGAAUGGAACUGACACUCCCAGCAACAUCUCCCCCAACCAUGCCCAUCUGUUAAUCCAACUUAAAAAGAAGGAAAAAAAAAUGACAAUGGAAAUGGAAAUACUUUAAAACAUUGUGUGUGUUUUGUGUGUGUGUGUGUGUGAUCAAAUCUCUUUCCCUGAAAUAUGACAAAGCAUUGCCAUCCCUUCUCCAAUAUCCUCUAUCCAUUAAUGGUCUUUCUGAUUCAAUAAACAGGAUUUCAGGCUCUGCCCCCUCCCUCUUUUCCACCCCUACUCCAGGAGAACAUGGGCUGCUUCCAGUAUAGCUCAUAUUAAGCUGUGCAGUUGAUGGAUCUUUAAUCUUGCUGAACACAUGUUGAGG
rnacentral:lncRNA from 10 species